GACGAACGCUGGCGGCGUGCCUAAUACAUGCAAGUAGAACGCUGAAGCGAGGAGCUUGCUCUUCUUGGAUGAGUUGCGAACGGGUGAGUAACGCGUAGGUAACCUGCCUUGUAGCGGGGGAUAACUAUUGGAAACGAUAGCUAAUACCGCAUAACAAUGGAUGACACAUGUCAUUUAUUUGAAAGGGGCAAUUGCUCCACUACAAGAUGGACCUGCGUUGUAUUAGCUAGUAGGUGAGGUAACGGCUCACCUAGGCGACGAUACAUAGCCGACCUGAGAGGGUGAUCGGCCACACUGGGACUGAGACACGGCCCAGACUCCUACGGGAGGCAGCAGUAGGGAAUCUUCGGCAAUGGGGGCAACCCUGACCGAGCAACGCCGCGUGAGUGAAGAAGGGUUUCGGAUCGUAAAGCUCUGUUGUAAGUCAAGAACGAGUGUGAGAGUGGAAAGUUCACACUGUGACGGUAGCUUACCAGAAAGGGACGGCUAACUACGUG
rnacentral:rRNA from 1 species